rnacentral:rRNA from 1 species
GACGAACGCUGGCGGCGUGCUUAACACAUGCAAGUCGAACGGAAAGGCCCUGCUUUUGUGGGGUGCUCGAGUGGCGAACGGGUGAGUAACACGUGAGUAACCUGCCCUUGACUUUGGGAUAACUUCAGGAAACUGGGGCUAAUACCGGAUAGGAGCUCCUGCUGCAUGGUGGGGGUUGGAAAGUUUCGGCGGUUGGGGAUGGACUCGCGGCUUAUCAGCUUGUUGGUGGGGUAGUGGCUUACCAAGGCUUUGACGGGUAGCCGGCCUGAGAGGGUGACCGGCCACAUUGGGACUGAGAUACGGCCCAGACUCCUACGGGAGGCAGCAGUGGGGAAUAUUGCACAAUGGGCGGAAGCCGGAUGCAGCAACGCCGCGUGCGGGAGGACGGCCUUCGGGUUGUAAACCGCUUUCGCCUGUGACGAAGCGUGAGUGACGGGAAUGGGUAAAGAAGCACCGGCGAACUACGU